rnacentral:rRNA from 1 species
CGUGUAGGCGGCUUUUCAAGUCGGAUGUGAAAGCCCGGGGCUCAACCCCGGAAUUGCAUCCGAAACUGUCAGGCUUGAGUACGGGAGAGGGAAGUGGAAUUCCCAGUGUAGAGGUGAAAUUCGUUGAUAUUGGGAGGAACACCCGAGGCGAAAGCGGCUUCCUGGCCUAGUACUGACGCUGAGACGCGAAAGCGUGGGGAGCAAACA